CAGGAGAGGAAGAGAAGAAAGGGGGCAUAAGAGGAAGCAGCACGGAUGGGCGGAGGGGCAGCGAGAGAAGAGAGGGGCUCAGAACUUUAGAAGUGUGUUGUCACCCAGGAAAAGAGCACAGCAUGGAAAUGUGUGGCACUUACAUAGGUUGUGUUUGGACAGAGAGAGAUGAGAGGCCAGCAGCUGCAAACAGCAGAGGCAGUAAUGACAUGGUGGCUUCACAAAACUCAGCUUUGAAGAGUUUGGUGAUGGCCUAGUGUUACUGAUCAGACAGAGCCUGGACCAGAGCCACAGUGGAAAUCUUGUACUUGGCAAGCAAGCUCCUUCAGCAUUGUUCCAUGUGAUCCCAAGUGAACCAAGCAAGAGGUAUUUGACCUACUUGGAUUCUGUGAAAAAUAUCUAUUGACAACACUGUGGGAGCUCAAGCAGUGAUUUCUUCAUCAGUAUCCUCUCUUUGAAAAUGCAUCAACCUGGGGAACCUCAGACAGCACAGGACUGGAUUCAGAAUCCUGCCUUCAGGAAGACCAGUGGUAAAAAUGAAUGUUUCAGUUAUGAUUGCCAUGGUCCUAACUUCUCCAGGCCUGAAAGACAAAGCUCCCCUUCCUUGUGCUGCAUUCCAUUGGACCUGCUUCUCACUUACCUAGUGUUCUCCUAGGAUUUUCUCAUGUCAUUACUGUGUUGCAGUUACUAUGAGAAAGCAGGUAUGUCUCAAACACUGAAUCAAACACUUAUUCUGAACAGGAUUUAUGUGGCUCUAGACAGAGCCCAUGCACCCUGCUACCAUGUCAGCUCUGACUACUAUUGAAUGACAUUGUAUUAGACGUUGUGAAAGUGAGGUUUUAUCUUAGGAGGGGAAAGUGAAAUCUACCUGACAUUACUCAAGACAUCAGACUUUCUUUUUUGUCACAGUAACAGGUGAUAGCUGCAAUCCAGGACGUCAGCAUAUCCAAGGACACAGUGUGGAAAUUGACUUCAGGACAUUCACUGACGAGCUUCCCCUACUAGGUCAAAAAUGUGUUUUUCCAACACCCAGAAUCAUGUCAUUUAGCAUAGAGAAGAUCUGCAUAUCUUAAGUGGGUGAUAUUUCUCUUCUCUACACUUUUCUAUGCCCAGUCUAUCACAAGUUUGAAAACUAAAAUCAGGUCUUGCCCGAAGUAUGUUUGAACUUGGGGAAUUACUUGGUUCUAGAUGUCAUUGCUGUGAAGUGUUGUUGGCUCCUCUCCUCCUGUCCCAAGAUUCUGCCAGGUGUAAAUCUCUGCAGACAUCUUGCCUUCUCCUUUCCCCCAAGCUAGAAAGCCCCUGUUGGCUAAGUAUGUGACAUACCUUACCAUCAUUAGUGCUAGAUUAAAUAGGGAAGGAAAAACCUUGAGAUGUAGUUCCUUCUGAUUAGGAGAUAGAUAUUCUUAAAUAUGUAAUAUAUAUAUAUAUAUAUGAAAACUAUGAGUAGAAUGAAGUCUGGCAGAAAAUCAAGGAUUUUUCUUUGAGAUGGACAAGUACACCCAGCCAGUGAUCACCCUAAAGUAAUUAAAUCAGUAACUGAACAGGUCUUAAUGAAGAUGAGCUCAUGAGCUUCACUUCUAGGGUGUAGGCACAGUGUCCAGUGGCUCUGAUGGGUCAGUCUGCUGAUCUCAGUGUGCUGGGAGGUUGAGGGAUCAUAAUCUUGUGUCAGCAUAGCCAGGAGAGAGCUGUGGAACAUGCAGAUACCAUGCACCUCCAUGUAUCACCUCACCCUAGCGUUGUCUUCCAUGGUUACAAAAGCUUGCAACAGAGUGACUCCUUCGUUUUGAUCUAGAGCAUGGAGACUUGUGGCUGCCAUGGUUUAACCCCAGCCAGCAACUAAGUAGCACACAGCUACUGGCUCACUGCCCCCUGCCUGGUGGGAUGAGGAGGAGAAAUUUAUGGGUUUACUUAAGAACAGUUUAUUAAUUAAAAUAAAACAUAAAACACUAAACAUCAAACAUAAAAUAAAAUAUAAUAGUAAUAAUAUUAUUAAUAAUAGUAAUAAUGAAAAGGUUGGUAACAAAGAGAGAGAGAAAUAAAAAUAAAACCCGAGAAACACAGAUGAUGCACAAUACAAUUGCUCACCACCUGUUGACCAACAUUCAGUCCAGCCCUGAGCAGUAAUUAUCUCCUCCUGUCAACUCCACCCAGUUUAUGUACUGGACAUAGUAUUCUAUGGUAUGGAAUAUGCCUUUGUCUAGUUGGGCAGCUGCCCUGGCUGUGCUCCUUUCUGGCUUCUUGUUUACCUGUUCACUAGGAAAACUUGGGAAACUGGAAAGUCCUUGAUUCAUAGUAAUUAUUUCUCAGCAGCACCUAAAACAUCAGUGUGUUAUCAACAUUAUUCUCAUACUAAAUGCAAGCCCCACAGUACUGUACCAGCUACUAGGAAAAAAAACAAACCCAAAACUCUAUCUCAGCAGCCAGGAUAGCAAAGAGAAUUUUCUCCCCAUCAGUGACCCUGAUGCAGAUGAGGAUGUAUCCAAGUCUACUACCACUUCCUAUCAAAAUUGUUUAAUUAGGUUAUUCAUUAAUUAUGAAAUUAAUGUUUUAAUUUCCUAAAUAGCUUUGCUUGCUGUUGAUUUUCCAGUCCCAAAAUGCUGCCAGGGCACUGAGAUAGGAGAACUGUGUUUUGUAUCUCUACAUGACUAGUUAUUUUCUCCACUUGCUCAACAACAUGCUUAUACAUUAGUAUUCUCACCAAAAAAAGGGCUGAAGUUAUUAUAGUUAAUAUUGUACUUCCCAUUCUUGAAAUCUUUUUGCUGCUGAGCUGCCCCACCUGCCUUUGCAGAACUCUUCUCACAGAGCCAGAUGUGAUGCUCAAAAGGAUCCUGUCUUUGUCAUCAUUGGCCAUAUAUGACUACACAGAAAGUCAUGUCUGAUGUAACCAACUUUGCAGUCUCAUUUUAUGUGGCCCAUUGUGUGCAGGAAAUGCUUCUGGCUCAGGAAGUCUGCCUGCAUCUGUGCUGCCACCGAAAGCACUGCUGCCCUGCCCACAUAUGUGCUUUUUGCUCAUUUCAUCUUCCAAAAAUGGAGACACUGUGACGGCAGGGGUGGUGAUAGGUCCAGGGCAUUUUAUGGGUUUUUUUAAAGAUGUUCAACUUAAACAGUUCAAAGACACAAUCACAGCAUAUGUUGAGUUAGAAGGGAUCCAGUCAGGAUGAUGAAUUCAACUUGUGGACUCGUAACCUCUCUCACCUAUUUCUUGCAGUGAAACCGCACUGCCAGUUUACAAAGCACCAGAGGAUGGGAAAAUGGGAUGAAGCUGAGCUAGAGGAUACUAGUUAACAUACCUAUAAUAUAUAGGAUACCCUAUUCUCUGUGUUAUUUGCAAUUUGUAGUCUAAAUUUGGUAUGUGGUACCAGUGACAUAGUUCUGCACAGGUCUUGUAUUAAUAAAUUUAGACAAAAGCUGCAUGAGGGACAUGUGAAUUACAAUGUUGGUUUUUGUUUGAGAAAAUAAAUGAAUGUACCUGAAAAUUCAAGUCUACAGAUACAGCAGAUGGAGGGGUGAAUGUGAGGUAGAUUUUUUCCUCCUAUUGAAUUGUUGUAACUAUUGAACUCUAAUAGAAAAGAAAACAGAUAAACAAGCACAUUUCAUAGUCUCAAAUAUAUUUUCUAAUCUUGAAUCUUCAAUAGGAUACAGUUACACUUUCAUAAAACUUCUGAGGAGAGGGAGCCAAGAACAUGAACCAUAGACUUAAAUUUUACCUAGCUCCAAGUUUCAGUACAUUUUAUUCUGGAAGAAUAAUCCUUGCAAAAGAAGUGCAUUAACAAGGGCAGUAUAUUUCCAGAUAGAAGUAAACUUGUAGUAAUAGAUAAUUUCAAGUACCCAGGAUUAAUGGCUCAAAUGCCACUGAAGGACAUAGCUAAGAGCAGCAAAUUCUUGUUACCACAAAGGACUACUUUAAGCAGUAGGUGGUUUUGCUGGUGCACAAGAGAUUUAGUCCUAAGUAACAAAUGAGAUCUGAUUUAAGAAGUAAUUACAGCUGACUCUCUCUGUCACAGUAGCUGCAAGAUAGUGAAGAUUAGUGUAGUGAUCUUAACUGUAGAAUGGGUAUCCACAGGCAUAAAACCAUGAAAUAAAAGGCAAAGUAUUUUAAAAAAAUAACAUGCUUAAAAUCAAUCUGGUAAAUAUUUAGCUACACUAUAGUAUAAUGAUUAAAUAGACAUACUGCAUUAGAUAGUUUAUUUGAGUAAUAAAUCAGCCUAAAAAGAGUUAAAAGCAGCCCCCAUGAUGCCAGGGAUGCAUCAAGAAGUGUCAUCUGAAUUCUGUAGCUGAUGAAUGUGUCAGAGAGGUUCUGUGAGGAAAUGUAAAAUUCAAGUGGUCAGAAGUAAAUCCAAGAGAAGAUAAAUAUUUGGAAUCAAAGACCUGCAGGCAUCAAGAAAUACAUUAAGCUGUCUUGAGAGAAUGGAUCAAAGUCAGCAAGAGAUCUAACCUCUGCAGACAUUACUGUUUAAAAUGAGCAGACCACUAGGGCAUGAAUUUCUAAAAGGCAAGUCGCUGUCAGAAACUUUCAUGAAAAUAUUUAGUAAUUAAAAAAUAUAGCUAAUUUAAGUUGCAUCUUUCUGUUUCUUUGAGAUUGUAACAAAAAUAGCAGGAAUGAAAAUCCAUCAGGAUCCACUGUUUUCCUCUUCCUCAAAGGAAUGGAGGAACUCUGAUGAGUAUUUUUCUAACCUCUUCUUUGAAAGUUGAAUGACAGAAAUUAGACCUCAGCUUUUGGUAACCUAUUUCUGCCUGUAGCUAUCCUUAGAGUCAGAAGGUUUUCCUAUUUUAUCCUAAACCUUUCCAGCUGCAAUUAAAGCCAGCAAGGUUCUAUCAUGCCUUCAGUGUCUUGAAGAACAAUCAUGAAGUGGGGUCCCUGCUUUUCAGGAUUUUCUACGUAUUGGAAAGUUGAGAAAUCACCUCCACACCUGUCAUCAGCCUUUAAUUUUAGAGCAAAUAUUACCUCUCCCUUUUUAAAUCAUUUUCCAUAUUUUAAACAAUUUUUUUAAAGUACUCCUCUUUAUGUGCUAUUGUAUUACACUACCCCAAACUGAGGCUUCUGAAAGGUGAGUUAAACAAUUACUAAUCCUGCCUUACAUAUGACAUAUUUAUUAGAAUGUCCCAAGAUGAGUUUUUCUGUUUUUUCAUCAGCAUGGUAUCAUUGAUUCUAUUCAAUAUGUGGUUUAUUGUUACAGCCAAGUCUCUUUCUACAGUGCUGUUAGUAUUCUCAAUUUUGUAUUUAUGCAUUUGAUUUAUUUCGAGUCUCAAUAUAGUACUUGGUUCUUGUAUUUAUUGAGUUUCAUCUUAUUGAUUACAGACAUCUUCUCCCAUUUAUCAAAGUCAUUUUGAAUUCUAAUCCUUCAGGUCCCUUGCUCCCCUUUACUUUGGCAUUUUUUUGAGUGUGCUCUCCAUUCCAUCAACUAAGUAAUAAGUGAAAAUUUUGUAUUGGGUCAGAUUUUGGCCAGACCUCAUCAGAAUUCUAUAUUAUAUAUCCUUUUAAUUGAAAACAAAAUAUAAAUAAGUCUAGGAGUAUUUUCUGCAAGUAAUUAUGCACCUAUUGUGUGCAGCAGGUUAGCCCAGAACAAAAUGUUUCUGUACCCUGUUAAUGAGAAUGUCAAGUAAGACAGUGCCCAAAGAUUCCUGUAAGUCAAUACACAUCUCUUCUACUGCUUCUUUCGCUAUGAGACAGAUAAUCUGUUACACAAAGAAAACACAGCAGUUUCUCAGACUUUUUUUUUGCAACAAAUCUUUUUUGCCUGUUUCUUUUUCACUGACCCUCCAGGUGCUUUAAAAGUGCCAGUUGAAUAAUUUAUUAUUAUUCUUGAUGUUGAAAUAAUGUCAACUGCUGAUUUUUCCUUUCUGAAGAUAUUUUAUACUCCUCUAUUCAGACUACCUGUUGUUCAAGAAUUCUUGAAGACAGUGAUGGUAAUGCAGUGUUAGAAAUGUUUUAAUUCUAGGACCACUUCACAGAAAAUAUCUGAGGUAAAUAUUUAGACACUGUGUGAACAUAAAAAUUGUGUCUCUGUUCUCAAUAUCAGUAUUUGACAUUUGUUUCAAGAGAAGAAAAUUAAGUAAACACUUUAAAGACAAAGUCUGCAAGACAGAAAAUAAAGUUAAAUAACUUUUCAGAAGGGAAGUUGUAUAACUAGUUUAUUAGUAUUCUUUGGAGCUUUAAGAUACUUUUCCUUCUAAAUAUUGCUGAUACUUAUUAGAAGAAGCUAGUUAGAUACUUACUAAUUUUCUGUAUCCAAACUACAUUUAUAAUAAAUUCCUGUUUGCCAAAUUGCUUCUUUGAAAUAAGUGAGUGGUGAAAAGAAUUAAAAUGUGAACAAAAAAGAGUAGAGGUAGUGAGAUACAGAAAUAUUGAAAUAUACUGUAUUUACAU